UGCGUAGGUGGCAAGCGUUAUCCGGAUUUAUUGGGCGUAAAGGGAACGCAGGCGGUCUUUUAAGUCUGAUGUGAAAGCCUUCGGCUUAACCGGAGUAGUGCAUUGGAAACUGGGAGACUUGAGUGCAGAAGAGGAGAGUGGAACUCCAUGUGUAGCGGUGAAAUGCGUAGAUAUAUGGAAGAACACCAGUGGCGAAAGCGGCUCUCUGGUCUGUAACUGACGCUGAGGUUCGAAAGCGUGGGUAGCAAACAGG
rnacentral:rRNA from 1 species